rnacentral:rRNA from 1 species
CCGUAGCCCAAGAGACUGGGAUAACACCUGGAAACAGAUGCUAAUACCGGAUAACAACACUAGACGCAUGUCUAGAGUUUAAAAGAUGGCUCUGCUAUCACUCUUGGAUGGACCUGCGGUGCAUUAGCUAGUUGGUAAGGUAACGGCUUACCAAGGCAAUGAUGCAUAGCCGAGUUGAGAGACUGAUCGGCCACAUUGGGACUGAGACACGGCCCAAACUCCUACGGGAGGCAGCAG